CUACGUCGGCACCCCGACACAGGUAAACAACCUCCUCCUCCGGCGACAAAACACCAACAAUCACAAUCCUCACAUCACAACCACAUUGCUCAUUUUUAAAGUAGGGUAUAUGACAUGCUUUUCCUUAUUUAAUCAUCAUCAUCCUCAUCGCCUAUUGGAUAGUUAUUUUCAUUACUGAUGUGUGUUAAGUUAGUAUAAAAUGCAUGAAAUAGUGAAGUUAAAUAUGGUAGUAGUGAUGUUAAGUCAUUGUAUUUCAGUUUAGAGAUAGGUUUUGGUAUGUUACGAAUGGGCUGUAGAACUGUUGGAAAUGGAGCUUGCAUUUUUCUGGUGUAUCUUCUUAAAUCAACUUGCUGGAACUCACUAUCAAAAGAUGUCCUUAGAAAUAACAUCCCAGUACAGUUCUGCCGGACUUGCAAAGGCAUACAUUUAGAAAGACAAAACUGGCUCUUUGUCAACAUCCACUUUUCUGAUUACAAAAGGUGAAUUUGGAAUUGAAUAUAGCAACUUCAACCUCUUGAAAUCAUCAACUUCCAUGUUGUGUACAAAAUAUUUUCUGGAACACUGCUAUAUUAAUUGCUGC
rnacentral:lncRNA from 1 species